GAUGAACGCUGGCGGCGUGCCUAAUACAUGCAAGUCGAGCGAAUGGAUUAAGAGCUUGCUCUUAUGAAGUUAGCGGCGGACGGGUGAGUAACACGUGGGUGACCUGCCCAUAAGACUGGGAUAACACCGGGAAACCGGGGCUAAUACCGGAUAACAUUUUGAACCGCAUGGUUCGAAAUUGAAAGGCGGCUUCGGCUGUCACUUAUGGAUGGACCCGCGUCGCAUUAGCUAGUUGGUGAGGUAACGGCUCACCAAGGCAACGAUGCGUAGCCGACCUGAGAGGGUGAUCGGCCACGCUGGGACUGAGACACGGCCCAGACUCCUACGGGAGGCAGCAGUAGGGAACCUUCCGCAAUGGACGAAAGUCUGACGGAGCAACGCCGCGUGAGUGAUGAAGGCUUUCGGGUCGUAAAACUCUGUUGUUAGGGAAGAACAAGUGCUAGUUGAAUAAGCUGGCACCUUGACGGUACCUAACCAGAAAGCCACGGCUAACUACGUGCCAGCCGCCGCAGUAA
rnacentral:rRNA from 1 species